AUUGAACGCUGGCGGCAUGCUUUACACAUGCAAGUCGAACGGUAACGCGGGCUUCGGCCUGGCGACGAGUGGCGAACGGGUGAGUACAACAUCGGAACGUAUCCUGAAGUGGGGGAUAGCCCGGCGAAAGCCGGAUUAAUACCGCAUGAUCUCUUAGGAGCAAAGCGGGGGAGCCGUAAGGUCCUCGCGCUAUUGGAGCGGCCGAUGCCGGAUUAGCUUGUUGGUGGGGUAAAGGCCUACCAAGGCAACGAUCCGUAGCUGGUCUGAGAGGAUGAUCAGCCACACUGGAACUGAGACACGGUCCAG
rnacentral:rRNA from 1 species